UCUCACUGUCACUAUACUUAGAAAUAACAUGUAGCGGAUUUUUAGAGAAAAAUUAGAUUUGUACUUCUUGGAUUCCUACGAACGAAUUUUUCGUCAUAAAGCUUUUCAGAUUCUGUCAAGCUAAAUACAAGGAAAAACAUUCUGGAAGAAUUAACCAGAAAAAAUCUGGGUCGCACGUUGAUUAAUGUGUUGUGUUAUCAUUCUUUAACUCUUCUUCUACAUUCUUUCACCCGAUUAUAUCUUGUCUAUGUUAAAAACUCUUAAAGUAAAAAUAAUCUUGAAUAAGAUAAACAAAAUUAAGAAAUACAAAGAAUUUUGAAAUUGAAAAAAAUGCAAUAGUAUCGUAAUAAAAGCAAAGGGUGUUAAACGCAGAAUGUUGAGGAAUUUUGAGUGGUUCCUAAACUACGCCACUGUGGAUCCCUUCAUCGUCAUAAAGUAGAAAAGGGGAAAAGCAGGGAAAGAAGAAAAAGGGAGGGGGAUGCGCGAGGUCCUCUUUUCCUCCACUUUGUCGAAUGUUCCUUUUGUACUUAGCCCCGACGUAGGCGAUAACAGCGAUGGGAAGAAGAGGAACGUGACACCAGUGGGCUGCCUUGAUGCGAUAACGUUGGAUUUGAUGUGGAUUACGGCGUACAUCAUAGGACUUUGUUUCAUAGCGAUUUUCGUCGACAUUUUGGUAAUCUUGUCCGUUGGAAUCCUUCUAUGGAAGACUCAUCGGGAAAAUAAGUAAUGAAAAUGAGCGGAAAACAGAGGGAGACGAGCAGGAAGCUGACAUUAUAUCGAUGUAGCAGGCUUGCAUGAUGGAAUUACGUUUUGCAACUGCGGAUAAAGUUGAAGUUACGUUGCCUCUUGAAGUUAGUUCACCGGUGUGGCAUAAGUUUGAGAUUAAUUUAACCCUUGAAUAUAAACAGAGGAGCAGCGACAGGGACCUGAUAUAUGGAUCCGCGAUGCCUAUUAACGAUCAACAUAAAAGCAUGAAACAGGAACAAAACUGUGGAAAAAAUGAAUGAACCCAUGCCUUCGCCCGUUGAAAAUUAUUCAAUUACACCGCUUGAAGUUUUUCUUUGUGUGAAUUUCUAUUACCUAUAAAUUAAAUACAUUAAUGUCUUUCUUGAA